rnacentral:rRNA from 1 species
CCUACGGGAGGCAGCAGUGAGGAAUAUUGGGCAAUGGGCGCAAGCCUGACCCAGCAACGCCGCGUGAAGGAAGACUGCUUUCUGGUUUUUAACUUCUUUUAAGAGGGAAGAGAAGAAGACGGUACCUCUUGAAUAAUCCACGGCUUACUACGUGCCAGCAGCCGCCGUAAUACGUAGGUGGCAAGCGUUGUCCGGAUUUACUGGGUGUAAAGGGCUUGCAGGCGGUAAGAGAAGUCAGAUGUGAAUUCCCGCGGCUCAACCGCGGAAUUGCAUUUGAACCUGGUUUUCUUGAGUACCGUAGAGGUGAUCGGAAUUCGUGGUGUAGCGGUGAAAUGCGUAGAUAUAAGGAAGAACACCAGUGGCGAAGGCGGCUGACUGGACGGCAACUGACGGUGAGGCGCGAAAGUGUGGGGAGCAAACAGGAUUAGAUACCCUUGUAGUC